rnacentral:rRNA from 1 species
UACGCAGGUGGCAAGCGUUGUUCGGAUUUACUGGGCGUACAGGGAGCGUAGGCGGUUGGAUAAGCCCUCCGUGAAAUCUCCAGGCUUAACCUGGAAAGUGCAGAGGGGACUGUUCAGCUAGAGGAUGGGAGAGGAGCGCGGAAUUCCCGGUGUAGCGGUGAAAUGCGUAGAGAUCGGGAGGAAGGCCGGUGGCGAAGGCGGCGCUCUGGAACAUUUCUGACGCUGAGGCUCGAAAGCGUGGGGAGCAAACAGG